AGUGAACGCUGGCGAUAGGCCUAACACAUGCAAGUCGAACGGCAGCACAGUAAGAGCUUGCUCUUACGGGUGGCGAGUGGCGGACGGGUGAGGAAUACAUCGGAAUCUACUUUUUCGUGGGGGAUAACGUAGGGAAACUUACGCUAAUACCGCAUACGACCUACGGGUGAAAGCAGGGGAUCUUCGGACCUUGCGCGAUUGAAUGAGCCGAUGUCGGAUUAGCUAGUUGGCGGGGUAAAGGCCCACCAAGGCGACGAUCCGUAGCUGGUCUGAGAGGAUGAUCAGCCACACUGGAACUGAGACACGGUCCAGACUCCUACGGGAGGCAGCAGUGGGGAAUAUUGGACAAAGGGCGCAAGCCUGAUCCAGCCAUACCGCGUGGGUGAAGAAGGCCUUCGGGUUGUAAAGCCCUUUUGUUGGGAAAGAAAAGCAGCAGGUUAAUACCCCGCUGUUCUGACGGAACCCAAAGAAUAAGCACCGGCUAACUUCGUG
rnacentral:rRNA from 1 species